GCCAGCCGCCGCGGUAAUACCGGCAGUCCAAGUGAUGGCCGAUAUUAUUGGGCCUAAAGCGUCCGUAGCCGGCCGGACAAGUCCGUUGGGAAAUCGACGCGCUCAACGGGUCGGCGUCCAGCGGAAACUGUCCAGCUUGGGGCCGGGAGACUUGAGGGGUACGUCCGGGGUAGGAGUGAAAUCCUGUAAUCCUGGACGGACCACCAAUGGGGAAACCACGUCAGGAAGACGGACCCGACGGUGAGGGACGAAAGCCAGGGUCUCGAACCGGAUUAGAUACCCGGGUAGUCCUAGCUGUAAACGAUGCUCGCUAGGUGUGCCGUGGGCUACGAGCAUGCGAUGCGCCGUAGGGAAGCCGAGAAGCGAGCCGCCUGGGAAGUACGUCUGCAAGGAUGAAACUUAAAGGAAUUGGCGGGGGAGCACCACAACCGGAGGAGCCUGCGGUUUAAUUGGACUCAACGCCGGACAUCUCACCGGUCCCGACAGUAGUAAUGACGGUCAGGUUGACGACUUUACCCGACGCUACUGAGAGGAGGUGCAUGGCCGCCGUCAGCUCGUACCGUGAGGCGUCCUGUUAAGUCAGGCAACGAGCGAGACCCGCACUUCUAGUUGCCAGCAAUACCCUUGAGGUAGUUGGGUACACUAGGAGGACUGCCGCUGCUAAAGCGGAGGAAGGAACGGGCAACGGUAGGUCAGUAUGCCCCGAAUGGACCGGGCAACACGCGGGCUACAAUGGCUCUGACAGUGGGAUGCAACGCCGAGAGGCGAAGCUAAUCUCCAAACGGAGUCGUAGUUCGGAUUGCGGGCUGAAACCCGCCCGCAUGAAGCUGGAUUCGGUAGUAAUCGCGUGUCAGAAGCGCGCGGUGAAUACGUCCCUGCUCCUUGCACACACCGCCCGUCAAAGCACCCGAGUGGGGUCCGGAUGAGUUCUCGUUCAUGCGACGGGUUUCCGA
rnacentral:rRNA from 1 species